rnacentral:tmRNA from 1 species
GGGGAUGACAGGAUUUGACUGAAAGAUCUUGAUUAUGAAAGCAAGUCGAAGUGCUAGAUCUUCGUACCAAUCGGAAGAUUGGAUGAUUCGCAAGACUCAUCAAAAAUUAGCAAAAAACAAAUGCUGAAAACAAAACAGCUAACAGCGAUGCUUACGCGGAAGUUUACGCUCCCGCAUAUGUAUACGCCUGAACCGGCACUUUUGUGUUGAGUUCAUAUCCAUAAGCGUUUAUCCGGAAAGGCUUAUUCGGGUAGAAUAAAACCGGAAUGAGGCUGUACUACCGUGGUUGAGUAGUAUUGCCGAGCGCAUUAAGCGCAAAAGCCGUAAGGCCAAACCUAUAACAGGGUAAAAAGGUAUGCCGAAUACUUUCCUGCCGAAAAUACUAUUUGGAUAAACUUGUAAACUUUUAUAGUUAAGCUUUCAACACAGGGGUUCGAUUCCCCUCAUCUCCACCA